UACAGAGGGGGCAAGCGUUGUUCGGAAUUACUGGGCGUAAAGGGUGCGUAGGCGGUUCUUUAAGUCUGUCGUGAAAUCCCCGGGCUCAACCUGGGAAUGGCGAUGGAUACUGGCGAGCUAGAGUGUGUCAGAGGAUGGUGGAAUUCCCGGUGUAGCGGUGAAAUGCGUAGAGAUCGGGAGGAACAUCAGUGGCGAAGGCGGCCAUCUGGGACAACACUGACGCUGAAGCACGAAAGCGUGGGGAGCAAACAGG
rnacentral:rRNA from 1 species